rnacentral:misc_RNA from 1 species
AGAUGAAGAACGUAGCGAAAUGCGAUAAGUAAUGUGAAUUGCAGAAUUCAGUGAAUCAUCGAAUCUUUGAACGCACAUUGCGCCCUUUGGCAUUCCGAAGGGCAUGCCUGUUCGAGCGUCAUUACACCCCUCAGACCCUGCCCUGUGUGGGCGGAUCUGGCGUUGGGCGGUGCCGGAAGGCACGCCUAAAAGUCAGCGACGGCAUCCUCGACCGCAAGCGCACAACUGUCGCGAUGCAGGGCGGGCGGUGCUGGUACACCCCUAAAUGUUGACCUCGGAUCAGGUAGGAUUACCCGCUGAACUUAAGCAUAUCAAUAAGCGGAGGA